rnacentral:rRNA from 1 species
AACGAACGUUAGCGGCGCGCCUAACACAUGCAAGUCGCACGAGAAAGGGCUUCGGCCCCGGUAAAGUGGCGCACGGGUGAGUAACACGUAGGCAAUCUGCCCUUGAGUGGUGGAUAACCCUCCGAAAGGAGGGCUAAUACAGCAUGAGACCACGGUGUCCACGGAUGCUGCGGUCAAAGUAGGCCUUUCCACGGAAGCUUACGCUUGAGGAUGAGCCUGCGGCCCAUCAGCUUGUUGGUAAGGUAAUGGCUUACCAAGGCUAAGACGGGUAGCUGGUCUGAGAGGAUGAACAGCCACACUGGAACUGAGACACGGUCCAGACUCCUACGGGAGGCAG